UGCCUCUAAGAGGGGAAUAACAUUCUGAAAAGAAUGCUAAUACCGCAUAAUAUAUAUUUAUCGCAUGGUAGAUAUAUCAAAGAUUUAUCGCUUAGAGAUGGACUCGCGUCCGAUUAGUUAGUUGGUGAGGUAACGGCUCACCAAGACCGCGAUCGGUAGCCGGACUGAGAGGUUGAACGGCCACAUUGGGACUGAGACACGGCCCAGACUCCUACGGGAGGCAGCAGUGGGGGAUAUUGCGCAAUGGGGGAAACCCUGACGCAGCAACGCCGCGUGAAGGAUGAAGGUCUUCGGAUUGUAAACUUCUUUUAUUAAGGACGAAGAAAGUGACGGUACUUAAUGAAUAAGCUCCGGCUAACUACGUGCCAGCAGCCGCGGUAAUACGUAGGGAGCAAGCGUUGUCCGGAUUUACUGGGUGUAAAGGGUGCGUAGGCGGCUUUGCAAGUCAGAUGUGAAAUCUAUGGGCUCAACCCAUAGCCUGCAUUUGAAACUGCAGAGCUUGAGUGAAGUAGAGGCAGGCGGAAUUCCCCGUGUAGCGGUGAAAUGCGUAGAGAUGGGGAGGAACGCCAGUGGCGAAGGCGGCCUGCUGGGCUUUAACUGACGCUGAGGCACGAAAGCGUGGGUAGCAAACAGGAUUAGAUACCCUGGUAGUCCACGCUGCAAACGAUGAUUACUAGGUGUGGGGGGUCUGACCCCUUCCGUGCCGGAG
rnacentral:rRNA from 1 species